UACGAAGGGUGCAAGCGUUACUCGGAAUUACUGGGCGUAAAGCGUGCGUAGGUGGUUUGUUAAGUCUGUUGUGAAAGCCCCGGGCUCAACCUGGGAAUGGCAAUGGAUACUGGCAAGCUAGAGUGCGGUAGAGGGUAGUGGAAUUCCCGGUGUAGCGGUGAAAUGCGUAGAGAUCGGGAGGAACACCAGUGGCGAAGGCGGCUACCUGGACCAGCACUGACACUCAACUACGAAAGCGUGGGGAGCAAACAGG
rnacentral:rRNA from 1 species